rnacentral:rRNA from 1 species
CAGUAGCCACGGUAAUACAGAGGGUGCGAGCGUUAAUCGGAUUUACUGGGCGUAAAGCGUGCGUAGGCGGCUUCUUAAGUCGGAUGUGAAAUCCCUGAGCUUAACUUAGGAAUUGCAUUCGAUACUGGGAAGCUAGAGUAUGGGAGAGGAUGUUAGAAUUCCAGGUGUAGCGGUGAAAUGCGUAGAGAUCUGGAGGAAUACCGAUGGCGAAGGCAGCCAUCUGGCCUAAUACUGACGCUGAGGUACGAAAGCAUGGGGAGCAAACAGGAUUAGAUACCCCGGUAGUCCCUGUCUCUUAUAA